AAAAUGAACAACGACCAGCAUUAUUGUCUACGGUGGAACAAUUUUCAAACAAAUGUUGUGUCAGAACUUGAAUCUUUUUGGAAUGAUGAAAAUUUUGUUGAUGUGACUCUCUAUUGUGGAGCAAAACAAAUCAAAGCUCACAAGUUAAUUCUAUCUGCUUCUAGUCCAUACUUCAAACAAAUUUUCCAGGAGAACCCAUGCAAGCAUCCUAUAGUCAUGCUGCAAGAUGUUGAUCCUAAUAUAUUAAAGCUAAUUCUGGAGUACGUGUACACUGGAGCUGUAAAUGUGUCUGAAAAACUCAUGCCAUCUCUCUUGCGCACAGCUGAUAUGCUUCACAUACGGGGUCUCACAGAAACCUCUUCAACUUCAGUUCCUAUGUCAACAUCUUCAGUCGAGAAUAUCAAAAGAGAGGUUCCAGACUGUGAACAAGAGGUCAUGCCUCCAGUCAAAAAAAUGUCACAGAAGUCAACUCUCAUUGAUGAACCAAGGAUGAAUCAUUUUGAGGAGGUAAAUCAAUCAUACCUACAUUUAGAAUAAUACAGGGAAAUUUAUGUUGCUUCUCAACAACUUUAACUCCAAUUCUUAAAUUAGAUCAUAAUUCUAAAGUGCACAACUUGAAGUAAGCACAUUCCAUUACUUCCAUUGCUUCCAUUUUGCACAGUCUCUGAGUUUCUUUGAGAAGACACAAGAGGGCCUUUUAUUAAAAUCUCAAAAUUCAUUCUUUAACCCAAGUUGACAAAAAGGUCUUGCCUGAAAAUUUUUCGAGACCAUGGUUGUCUUUCUUGUGGGCAGUCAUAUUCAUUAUUUAAUUUUAUUUGAAAAAGCAAAAUGGAAUUCUCUUCAUUUAUUCAGGACGAAGAACGUAACUCGAGAAUAUUGAUACAUAUGAACCACUUUUUCUUUUUUUUUUUCUCGCAGCUGAAAAAUGUUGUCGAAGGUACAAGUGAAACUUGCUCUAGGAAGUCGCAACUAUUUAACCCAGAAAUUGUCAGUAACAAUCAAGUUGAGUCCCAGAGCUCCAGUAUGGAGUUUCAAGGAAACGCAGAUUCCCUUGAGGGAGCAGCAAAUAUAUUCAAUUUCCCUGGAGAAGUAAUUGCUGAUGUCACUAUUAAAAGUGGUCCAGAAGGAUCUCGAUCUCAUUCUCUAGAUCCUCGCCCUUGUCCAGUCUGUGGACACGUUUACAGCAAUUUAUCAAAUUUACGACAGCACAUUAGACUGAUUCACAAUCCAGAGUGUGUGACGUGUCCUCUGUGUUCCAAGACUUUCAAAAACAAGUUGUACCUCAAAAGACACUUGAUUAGUUUCCAUGAACUAGCACCACCCUCGCAAGACCAAGACCGUGCCAAAGCAGCCAUGUAUAGUAACCUCUUAAAUAAUGCCGCCUUGUCCUCUGAUCAAAAUAGUAAUCCAGUUGAUCCGCGAUCGUACUCCCAUGUCAUGUCCACGCAAGGAAUCAGUCCAAGAAGGAGACACGACGAAAUCAACAGCAUGUUGUUUGGACAUCAAAAAAAUCUAAUUAAUCCCCAAAAAAACACAUUCUUUGAUCAAAGCUUAGAUGAUAAAUUAGAAACUCCCAUGGAUACAAACAGUAAUUGUUAUAACGAGUUUCACCCUUACGGUGCUGUGUUGGAUAAGAGUGUAAUGAACAAUAAUCAUGAUACCCUGUCAUCGCAUAACAAACAAUCAGUCCUAGCCCCGGGGAAGCACCAAUAUUUACAGAGUCCUGUAACUUCCUCAAAUAGUCCAUCAAAUCCCGUCCAAAACUAG
rnacentral:lncRNA from 1 species